GCGGCGGGCGGGGCGGGGGCACGGGGGGAGGAAUUGGCGGGGGAGCACCACAACGGGUGGAGCUUGCGGUUUAAUUGGAUUCAACGCCGGAAAUCUUACCGGGACCGACAGCAAUAUGAAGGCCAGGCUGAAGACUUUGCCGGAUUAGCUGAGAGGUGGUGCAUGGCCGUCGUCAGUUCGUACUGUGAAGCAUCCUGUUAAGUCAGGCAACGAGCGAGACCCACGCCCACAGUUGCCAGCGUACUCUCUGGAGUGACGGGUACACUGUGGGGACCGCCGCUGCUAAAGCGGAGGAAGGAAUGGGCAACGGUAGGUCAGUAUGCCCCGAAUAUCCCGGGCUACACGCGAGCUACAAUGGUUGGUACAAUGGGUAUCUACCCCGAAAGGGGACGGGAAUCUCCUAAAACCAAUCUUAGUUCGGAUUGAGGGCUGCAACUCGCCCUCAUGAAGCUGGAAUCCGUAGUAAUCGCGUUUCAACAGAACGCGGUGAAUACGUCCCUGCUCCUUGCACACACCGCCCGUAGAUCGGAAGAGCACACGUCUGAACUCCAGUCACUUCGCAAAUCUCGU
rnacentral:rRNA from 1 species